rnacentral:tRNA from 1 species
AAAAUCCGUCGACUUUAUAAAUCGUGAGGGUUCAAGUCCCUCUAUCCNNA